rnacentral:lncRNA from 1 species
CAUUGUAUUCACCUUAAUUAAAUAUUUGUCAUCAGUUAGGGUUUGACAGAGAAACAUAUGGAUAGGAUGUUUGUGUGCAUGUAUGCAUGUACACACACCCACACAUGUGACUGUGUAGAGAUUAAUUUUAAAAGAUUGGCUCAUGUGAUUAUGGAGAUUGGUAUCUCUGAAAUCUGCAGGGGAGGCUGGCAGACUGGAAACCCAGGGAAGAGCCCAUGUUACAGUUAAGUCCAAAGGCUAUUUGUUGACAGAUUUUCUUCUGAGGAGAAGGUAAGUAUUUUUCCAUUAUCUUUCAACUGAUUAGACAUGUUUCUCCCACAUACAUUUUUCAAAGUCUACUGAUUAAGAUACUGAUCGCAUCGUAAAAGUACCUUCACAGAAACAUCUAGAACAAUGUUUGACCAAAUAUCUGGGUACCAUGGACCAACCAACUUGACACAUAAAAGUAACUCACAAUAUAUAUGUGGGAUUUUAAAAAAUUUUGGCAGCACUGGGGAUUGAACCCAAGGGUGUCUUACCAUAGAGCCAAAUACUCAGCCCCCUUUUUAAAUUUAUUUUUUAUUUUUAUUUUUUUUAAUUUUUUUAGUUGUUGAUUGACCUUUAUUUAUUUGCUUAUAUGUGGUGCUGAGUAUCGAACCCAGUGCCUCACAUGUGCUAGGCAAGCACUCUACCGCUGAGCCACAACCCCAGCCCCCCUUUUUAAUUUUGAGACAGGGUCUUAUUGUUGAGGAUCUCAGUGAGUUGCUGAGGAUAGCUUCAAACUUGAGAUCCUCCUGCCUCAGCCUCCCAAGUAGCUGGGUUUACAGGCAUGUGCCACUGUUCCAGCUUAUGUGGGAUUUUUAAAAAGCAAAAGCUCUUUAGCAUUAAAGCUUUAUAAAAUCCACUUUGAGAACUCAUUUUAUACAAAGUACCUCUUUUUAAAAUUUCAAAACUGGGGAGCUAUAAAUACAUUUCCUUUUGAACCUUAUUCAAGACUGAGUUUGGUAUAUCCUCUACUCUUGCUCUGUGCCUUCUCUCCCUAAAAGUAGACCUCAAACUCCAAGAUCUUGACUUCUGGGACAGCUUCCAUGGCAAGGUUCCAGGACUGCUGGACUGACAUAAGGGGAAUGUACCUGGCCCUGAUGGAGCAGAAUCUUGCCAGAUAUGAACUUCGAAUAGUUGAACCACCAAAAGUACCUUUUGGGAAAAAACCCCAAAUGCUGAUGAAUAUGGUCCAGAUAUUGAGCCCAACCUGUGGAUGUGGGUGAAACCCAAUGUGGUGUAUCCCCAUGGCAAGCUAGAAAGGGGAGGAUCUGAUGAGUGAAUUCCCAUCCCUGCUGCAGUUUGGCUGGGCACAAUUCAGGAGCCACUUGUCAAAGGAAACGAACUUUAUUUUUAGAACACACAUACCGGACCACACAGCUCUUCAGGAAAACCCUCAGAGCCCAACUGCCACCACCAGCUUCCCACAAGCCUCUCAACCUCCCCCACUCCUCCUGCUCUUAAGGCCGAUUGGCUGGGUCGCAUGGGCAGAGCCAAAAAGAGUUCCCCAAUGAGCAGCUCUGUGGUCUGAAAGGGUGGGGAAACAGCCCAAUGAGCAUCAAUGCAGAGGAGCCAAUCAUUUGGCAGCUAGAAGUUUGCUGGGGCCGCUGUGAGCCAAUCAUCAGCUGGCAGCUGCAAGUUUGCUGGCAGCUGGAAGUUUGCUGGGGCCCCUUCGGCUGUGGCUCUCAACAUCUCCCCCUCUCUGUUUAAACAACAAGCAUGUGGCUUAGGGACCAUGCCUGCCUUAGGUUGUCCAAUACUACAUAUGGUUCUUACCCAUCAUCGGAUGAGCUGACCUCAAGGUGUCAGCCUCCUGUCUUAGGUUGGUACCAUUGCAAUUGGAUCUUACCUGUCAUUGACUACCGGUCCAGCAUACAGCCACACCUGU